ACAUGUAGUUUUUGGCAAAAAAACUUGAGGCGUAUCAUCAGUGAUUAAUAAUAAAAUCGCGAAAACCAGUAUACAAACAGUAAUAAAGGAGUGUCCAUUGAAGUACAUGGGAUUUAUUGUUUUCUUUUUUAACACUGGUAUCUAAUUGGGUAGAAACAGUCAUG